rnacentral:rRNA from 1 species
UCCGGUUGAUCCCGCCGGACCCGACUGCUAUUUGGGUGAGGAUAAGCCAUGCGAGUUGAAUGGGAUACCUAAAAAUCCCAUGGCAAACUGCUCAGUAACACAUGAUCAACUUACCCUAUAGAGGAAAAUAACCUCGGGAAACUGAGGAUAAUGUUCCAUAGUUGAAUCGGCUUGGAAAAGUUUUUCAAUAAAAGGGAUAAGAAAAAUGGUUCUUAUCUGCUAUAGGAUAGGAUCGUGCUCGAUUAUGGUUGUUGGUGAGGUAAAGGCUCACCAAGCCGAUAAUCGAUAGGGGCCAUGAGAGCGGGAGCCCCGAGAUGGGUACUGAGACAACGACCCAGGCCUUACGAGGCGCAGCAGGCGCGAAACCUCCGCAAUACACGAAAGUGUGACGGGGUUACCCAAAGUAUUCUAUUUAGAACUGUGGUAGGUGAGUAAUGUUCCCUACUAGAAAGGAGAGGGCAAGGCUGGUGCCAGCCGCCGCGGUAAAACCAGCUCUUCAAGUGGUCGGGAUAAUUAUUGGGCUUAAAGUGUCCGUAGCCGGUUUAGUAAGUUCCUGGUAAAAUCGGGUAGCUUAACUAUCUAUAUGCUAGGAAUACUGCUAUACUAGAGGGCGGGAGAGGUCUGAGGUACUACAGGGAUAGGGGUGAAAUCUUAUAAUCCUUGUAGGACCACCAGUGGCGAAGGCGUCAGACUGGAACGCGCCUGACGGUGAGGGACGAAAGCCAGGGGAGCGAACCGGAUUAGAUACCCGGGUAGUCCUGGCCGUAAACGAUGCAUACUAGGUGAUGGCACGGCCAUGAGCCGUGUCAGUGCCGUAGGGAAACCAUUAAAUAUGCCGCCUGGGAAGUACGGUCGCAAGGCUAAAACUUAAAGGAAUUGGCGGGGGAGCACCACAAGGGGUGAAGCCUGCGGUUCAAUUGGAGUCAACGCCGGG